AUAACAUAGGGAAACUUAUGCUAAUACCGCAAUACGACCUACGGGUGAAAAGCGGGGGAUCGCAAGACCUCGCGACGAUUGGAUGAGCCGAUGUCCGAUUAGCUAGUUGGCGGGGUAAUGGCCCACCAAGGCGACGAUCGGUAGCUGGUCUGAGAGGAUGAUCAGCCACACUGGAACUGAGACACGGUCCAGACUCCUACGGGAGGCAGCAGUGGGGAAUAUUGGACAAUGGGCGCAAGCCUGAUCCAGCCAUGCCGCGUGGGUGAAGAAGGCCUUCGGGUUGUAAAAGCCCUUUUUGUCCGGAAAGAAAAGCUCGAGGUUAAUACCUUCGGGUUCUGACGGUACCGGAAGAAUAAGCACCGGCUAAACUUCGUG
rnacentral:rRNA from 1 species